AGGGUUUGGAAAUUGAAGACAGUA
rnacentral:siRNA from 1 species